rnacentral:rRNA from 1 species
CCAAUAGCGUAUAUUAAAGUUGUUGCAGUUAAAAAGCUCGUAGUUGAAUUUCGGGAUCAGUACGCUGGUCGUGCCUUCGGUAUGAACUGGUGUCACUGGUUCCUCCCUUCUGAAGAACCGUCAUGCCAUUCAGUUGGUGUGGCGGGGAAUCAGGACUGUUACUUUGAAAAAAUUAGAGUGUUUAAAGCAGGCUCGCGCUU